ACCAGACUCCUACGGGAGGCAGCAGUGGGGGAUAUUGCACAAUGGGGGGAACCCUGAUGCAGCGACGCCGCGUGGGUGAAGAAGCGCCUCGGCGCGUAAAGCCCUGUCAGCAGGGAAGAAAAUGACGGUACCUGAAGAAGAAGCCCCGGCUAACUACGUGCCAGCAGCCGCGGUAAUACGUAGGGGGCAAGCGUUAUCCGGAUUUACUGGGUGUAAAGGGGGCGCAGACGGCGAUGCAAGCCAGGAGUGAAAGCCCGGGGCCCAACCCCGGGACUGCUCUUGGAACUGCGUGGCUGGAGUGCAGGAGGGGCAGGCGGAAUUCCUGGUGUAGCGGUGAAAUGCGUGGAUAUCAGGAGGAACACCGGUGGCGAAGGCGGCCUGCUGGACUGCGACUGACGUUGAGGCCCGAAAGCGUGGGGAGCAAACAGGAUUAGAUACCCCGGUACC
rnacentral:rRNA from 1 species